rnacentral:rRNA from 1 species
AUGCAGCUGCUAGAGAGUGGCCUGAAGAUGGAGUACGAGAUGCUCAGGAGGAACUUUAGUGACACCAGAUGUUUUGUCUUCGGUAUGCAGGAGCACAUCAAUCUCGGCAUGAAGUAA